rnacentral:tRNA from 1 species
AAAGCAUAUUUUUAUACUUCUAAUAUAAUUUAUAAUAUUAAUUUAUUAAUGCUUUU